AGUGAACGCUGGCGGUAGGCCUAACACAUGCAAGUCGAACGGCAGCACAGGAGAGCUUGCUCUCCGGGUGGCGAGUGGCGGACGGGUGAGGAAUACAUCGGAAUCUACUCUGUCGUGGGGGAUAACGUAGGGAAACUUACGCUAAUACCGCAUACGACCUACGGGUGAAAGCAGGGGACCUUCGGGCCUUGCGCGAUUGAAUGAGCCGAUGUCGGAUUAGCUAGUUGGCGGGGUAAAGGCCCACCAAGGCGACGAUCCGUAGCUGGUCUGAGAUGAUGAUCAGCCACACUGGAACUGAGACACGGUCCAGACUCCUACGGGAGGCAGCAGUGGGGAAUAUUGGACAAUGGGCGCAAGCCUGAUCCAGCCAUACCGCGUGGGUGAAGAAGGCCUUCGGGUUGUAAAGCCCUUUUGUUGGGAAAGAAAUCCAGCUGGCUAAUACCCGGUUGGGAUGACGGUACCCAAAGAAUAAGCACCGGCUAACUUCGUGCCAGCCGCCGCGGUAA
rnacentral:rRNA from 1 species